rnacentral:rRNA from 1 species
AUGCGCACACAACCGGCGACCAACAUCACACAAAGGUCGCCACCACCGGCGGUGGAAGGACAGUCUUCUCCCGCCGCUAGCCGCAGCCUCCGCCUCGCCCUGAUCCUCGGCAUCCUCGACCGCCACUCGCUCUCCUCGGAAGCACCUCGCCGCCUCCCUGCCCAUGCCGUGUUCGCCGACUGCCCUGCUCGCGCCGACCUCGCCAAUCUCGCGGCCGCGCUUGGCAGUGCUCAACUUGUCCUCGCCGCCGCCAGCGGCGACGGGUCCUUCCUGUGCCUCUGCCGCCUCGUGGCCGAGUCCUCCUCUCCCCAAAUCGACACCCGCCCCCUUUGUCAAGCCUGCCGUGCUAGCGACAUGAGCAGGAUGGUGUACACCGGCUUCACAGACAUGUGGCCGUCGAGGCUUCGGAUGAGGUCGACGCGGAUGAGAACAGUCCAUAGAGCCGUACCAGGCAGAACAAGCUGUUCCAUGCAUGGGGUCUGA